CUGAACCAGCCAAGUAGCGUGCAGGAUGACGGCCCUCGUGGUUGUAAACUGCUUUUAGUCGGGAAUAAAAGGGGGUUCAUGAACCCCGUAUUGUAUGUACCGUCAGAAAAAGGACCGGCUAAUUCCGUGCCAGCAGCCGCGGUAAUACGGAAGGUCCGGGCGUUAUCCGGAUUUAUUGGGUUUAAAGGGAGCGUAGGCGGGCCGUUAAGUCAGUUGUGAAAGUUUGCGG
rnacentral:rRNA from 1 species